AAAAUAGUUCUAACUCUCCACACACUACGUUUCUGAUAUCCAAAUCACCCAUCUUCUCUUUCUCUUUUAUUGUGAAGUCCUGGGGUUUGGAUCCUAUGAUCUUUGUCUUCACCGAAGAGAGCAUUUUUGUUUAGGGUUUACGGGAUCUAUUCUCUCAACUCUCACAACCGCUCUGUUAAUGCCGAUCGACGAGCUCAAGUUUUGUCUCUGAACAACACUUGUUUCUACCGUUGGUGUCAUCUGCAACAAACAAAAUACCUGGCUAUCUGGGACAGAUGGGCUUUAUGAAACAUUUGGAAACUUAUGCUUAGCUCACAGCAAAGAGUUUGAAUGCAGAAUCUUGAGAUAUUUUCCAAGUAGAAGUUUACUUUUUGUGGAAUGCAUGCCUGUGAAGAAUGCGAUUAACUUUUGUUUCUGUUACCUACAAAGAAUGAUGAGGAAAACUUUUGUUUUUGGUUUAUGUUAUUUUGAAUUGUGAACAACAUUAUGUAUUUAAAGAUUAUAUAUGUAUUAUGGAGCAUUAUGUAGUGCGGUAAUUUUGCUGAUGUGUGGUUAUGAAUGUAAGAAUAUUUUUAUUAUGGAGAAAUUGUUAUUUCUAUACAUGAAUUUUUAUAUUAUUAU